rnacentral:rRNA from 1 species
GAUGAACGCUGGCGGCGUGCCUAAUACAUGCAAGUCGAGCGAACAGACGAGGAGCUUGCUCCUCUGAUGUUAGCGGCGGACGGGUGAGUAACACGUGAAUAACCUACCUAUAAGACUGGGAUAACUUCGGGAAACCGGAGCUAAUACCGGAUAACAUGUUGAACCGCAUGGUUCAACAGUGAAAGACGGUCUUGCUGUCACUUAUAGAUGGAUCCGCGCCGCAUUAGCUAGUUGGUAAGGUAACGGCUUACCAAGGCAACGAUGCGUAGCCGACCUGAGAGGGUGAUCGGCCACACUGGAACUGAGACACGGUCCAGACUCCUACGGGAGGCAGCAGUAGGGAAUCUUCCGCAAUGGGCGAAAGCCUGACGGAGCAACGCCGCGUGAGUGAAGAAGGUCUUCGGAUCGUAAAACUCUGUUAUUAGGGAAGAACAAAUGUGUAAGUAACUAUGCACGUCUUGACGGUACCUAAUCAGAAAGCCACGGCUAACUACGUG